CAAAAAAACAAACCCUGGUUUCCGUGUCCAAAGUUUAACCGUCCGUCUUAUUUAAAAAAAUUAUGAAAAAAAUUAAAAAGAUAAGUCAUGCAUAAAGUAUUAAUCAUAUUUUAUCAUCUAACAACAAUAAAAAUACUAAUUAUAAAAAAAUUUCAUAUAAGACGAACAGUCAAACGUUGGCACGACAAUUCACGGUUUGCCUUUUU
rfam:Oryza sativa (indica cultivar-group) chromosome 8, whole genome shotgun sequence.